rnacentral:pre_miRNA from 1 species
CAUGUACUCCCUCCGUUUCAAAUUACUCGUCACAGAAAUGGAUGUAUCUAGAACUAAAAUACAUCUAGAUACAUCCAUACCUACGACAAGUAAUUCGGAACGGAGAGAGUAACAA